UUCAAUUGUGAGGAAGUAACUCCUUUUAUCGCGUAAGUUGUUAUAAUUACAUUUAUUAUAUAUAUUGAAUUGUAUGAUUGCUUAGUUGCAUUUACAAUUUAUCAUGUCACAUGUAGGAUGUUUGAUAAACAUAUGAGAAUGUUGCAUCCCCAAAUAUCUGAUGCACAAUUUGAUGGUUUACAAGAAGAAAAUAUUCCGUGUUGGUUAAAGGAAUAUAUAAGUGUUGUAAGUAAUGUCUCAAUUAACCCGGAAAAGUAUGUUUGUAAAAUGAGUUGUAAUACAUAUUGUUUCUUUUUGUUCAGGUUUUGAAUGAUCAUGAUGAAGUUGAUAAUUGCAUAAAGGCAUUGGCUAUGGGUCCCUCUCGUAGAGUAAAUUAUUAUAAUGGAUAUUUUGUCAAUGGUUUUAAGUUUCACACUUUAGAUUAUGGUUCCCACAAAACAACAAUGAAUAGUGGAGUGUCAGUAUUAGGAAGUUGUCAUAAUGACUAUGAGCGUGACUACUAUGGUAUGCUAACUGAAAAAUUGGAAUUGGAUUAUUUAGGAGAUGUUGAAAACAAGGUAACCUUAUUCAAGUGUGAUUGGUUUGACAUCAAUGGUGGCGUUAGAGUCCAUCGACAAUUGGGUCUUGUUGAGCUUAAUCAUAAGAAGAAAUUACAAACAAAUGAUGUGUUUAUACUUGCUCAACAAGUAUAUUACACUUGUUUUCCAACGAAUGCUAGAGAUAGACUUGAUUGGUGGACGAUUGUGAAAACAAAAGCAAGAAAUGUUCCCAACAUACAAGGAAUCAUAUCGAAGAAUGAAGAGUGUAAUGUGUGGGUGUAACUUGCAUUCCAAGAGGAUCAACAAUCAUGGACCCAGAAACCUGUUCGAAUAAAUUCAGAAUUUGAAAGCCAAAAUUUAGUUCGUACUGAUGUUAGAACUAAAGAAGUGGAUGUGGCUGAAUCUAGGAUCUUUAAUGUAGAUUCUGAAAGGAUUGUUGUAGAAGAAAAUACACAACUACAGGACACUGACAAUAGUGAUGGUUUCACAAGUGCAUGUGAAGGCUAAAGAAAAUAGUACUACUGUUAAUCUUUUCAUUUUUAGUUCAUGUUUUUACUUUAUUGUUCUUAUCAUUGUUAAUAUUUUUGGUUGGCUGAUUGUAGGAAACAUUUGACGUGUUUAUAGAGAAGGGAGUAAUGGCCAGGCUAGACAAGAAGCUAGGUGAUGUUUUGAUUCAAGAGACAGGGUACUAGUGUAUGCAAACUCAACUUCUAGUGAAUGUGCCACUUCUUAAUUUGGCAGGUGGGUUUAUAUAUCAAUGUUCAACAGAUUUGACCCUUAACAUCCGUGGGGAGAAAAUCAGUAUACCACAAGUAGUAAGAAAAAAGUGAGGAAGAAAAGCUAAUUACUGAAAGAUAUUACAUUAGUUUGGUAAUUGGGUUCAUAAUCGGACUUUUGGGAGUAAUCGGAACGUUACAUAUGUACUAACAGUAUUUAACAAAAUUAUGUUUCCUUGUCUUUGUCAACUUCUAGUUUGCCAAUUGAUGGUGAAGUAUGUCAAUUUUGUGCCUAAUUGUAGAGAAUUUUCUAUAUAGAUUUAUGGUCAAAUAACUCACUUGAACAUAUUUCAAUAAUGAUCUACGAUGCAAUUAAUUCAACAAAUCUAGAAAUGAAAACUUUGAAAAUAACGACCAUUAGCUUAUAGAGGAAAUAAGACACUUCAAAUGAAGUGAAUGCUACAAGUUUCUUGAAAUAUCCCCAAAAUAAAGAAAGAUGCAACUACUUAGGUCCCCGAAUUCUUCUUUAUUUCCUUCCAUGCUCAUCUAGUGUUGCCAAAUAUGUCAUUUUCCUUCCACGCUCGUCUAGCGUUAUUUAAAUAAUGUCAUGUUCUCAUUUAUUCGUUCAUAAAAACAACUCACAUUCGGACUAAUGUAAUUUGAUGAGCAGAAUGUAUUUGCAUAUGUUCGUUGCAUUUCAUAUUGGCCUGGUUUGGAAAUAUACUACAUACGCGAUUUUUUUGAGUAGGAUAAAUAUUUAGAAUUCUCAAUAUAAUUUACAUUAUUUUUUAAAAUAAA
rnacentral:lncRNA from 1 species